AUUGAACGCUGGCGGCAGGCCUAACACAUGCAAGUCGAGCGAGCGGCGGACGGGUGAGUAAUGCCUAGGAAUCUGCCUGGUAGUGGGGGAUAACGUCCGGAACCGGGCCCUAAUACCGCCUACCAUCAGUUUUGCCCCUAUGGGAUUAGCUUUUUGGUGGGGUAACGGCUUACCAAGGCGACGAUCCCUAGCUGGUCUGAGAGGAUGACCAGCCCCACUGGAACUGAGAAACGGUCCAGACUCAUACGGGAGGCAGCAGUGGGGAAUAUUGCACAAUGGGCGCAAGCCUGAUGCAGCCAUGCCGCGUGUAUGAAGAAGGCCUUCGGGUUGUAAAGUACUUUCAGCGGGGAGGCGUUACCCGCAGAAGAAGCACCGGCUAACUCCGUGCCAGCAGCCGCGGUAAUAC
rnacentral:rRNA from 1 species